rnacentral:rRNA from 1 species
UACGAAGGGGGCUAGCGUUGCUCGGAAUCACUGGGCGUAAAGCGCACGUAGGCGGACUCUUAAGUCGGUGGUGAAAUCCUGGAGCUCAACUCCAGAACUGCCUUCGAUACUGAGAGUCUUGAAUCCGGGAGAGGUGAGUGGAACUGCGAGUGUAGAGGUGAAAUUCGUAGAUAUUCGCAAGAACACCAGUGGCGAAGGCGGCUCACUGGCCCGGUACUGACGCUGAGGUGCGAAAGCGUGGGGAGCAAACGGG